rnacentral:rRNA from 1 species
UUUUUGUAUUUAAUAUAAAGUCUAAUCUGCCCACUGAUAAUUUAUUAAAGGGCUGCAGUAUUUUGACUGUACAAAGGUAGCAUAAUCAUUUGUCUCUUAAUUGGUGACUAGUAUGAAAGAUUGGAUGAAAUAUAGACUGUCUCAUUAUAAUGAAUAAAAUUUAAUUUUUUAGUAAAAAAGCUAAAAUAGUUUUAAAAGACGAGAAGACCCUAUAGAGUUUAAUAAUUAUUUUUAUAUAGAAUAAAAUAUAAAAAUUUAAAUUUAAAUGAAAGUAAUUAUUUUGUUGGGGUGAUAGAAAAAUUAAAUUAACUUUUUUUAAAAGAUAUACAUUAAUAAAUGAAUAAAUGAUCCAUUAAUAAUGAUUAUAAGAAAAAAUUACCUUAGGGAUAACAGCGUAAUUUUUUUUUUUAGGCCAAAUAAGAAAAAGAGUUUGCGACCUCGAUGUUGGAUUAAGAUAAAAUUUAAAUGUAAAAGUUUAAAAUUUUGAUCUGUUCGAUCAUUAAAA